rnacentral:lncRNA from 1 species
AUGCUGCUCGAAGUGCUUGACCACGAUCCCGCCGCCCCGGCGCGGUCGUGCCCCCGCCGCUGCAUGUGCGGGCUUCGGGGGGAGGUGGCGAAAAGGGGAAGAGACCCGGCGUCGUCGCCGGGCCCCACCCUCUCCGUGUGGGCGGUUGGGGCCCCAAGGCGGCGGUGCCUCUCCUCCCCUUUGCCCCCUUCCUCCGCUCCGCCUCAGCCCGCGGUCGGGUGUCUUUUAGGUUCUCCGGGUCCGUGCUCGCCGACGCGGCCGAACCGCCUCGUCCCCACCGGUGGGGCGGGGUCGGCGGUGCCGAGGCCCCUGCCCCGGCGGCUCGAGAGGGGUCCCCUCGACGUGUGGGCCAGCGAGGGCCCCGGCGGUCAGGCGCCGGGGUCGGUCCCGCUCGCUCGAGUGAGCGUCUUCCCUCCGAGAUGGGGAAUUGGGGUUGGCGUGACCGGCCGGGUGUGCCUUGGUCGCUCGUCCCGACCGCCCCGAGAGGCCUUUCCGCCCCCAUCCUGUCCCGGGUACCUAGCGCGUUCUGGCGCGGAGGUUUAAAGAUUCGGGGGUUGCCCUCCGCUCUCCAGCGGGGUCGGUUCUGUUUUCCCCCCUUCCCCGUCCGCCCUCUUCCGACGGUCUCGGGCCCCUCCU